UAUUGCACAAUGGGCGCAAGCCUGAUGCAGCGACGCCGCGUGGAGGAUGAAGGCUUUCGGGUCGUAAACUCCUGUCUGGGGGGAGGAAAACUGACAGUACCCCCGGAGGAAGCCCCGGCUAACUACGUGCCAGCAGCCGCGGUAUCACGUAGGGGGCGAGCGUUGUCCGGAAUGACGGGGCGUAAAGGGCGUGUAGGCGGCGGAUUAAGGCUGGAGUGAAAGUCCUGCUUUCAAGGUGGGAAUUGCUUCGGAUACUGGUUGGCUUGAGUGCGGAAGAGGUAAGUGGAAUUCCCAGUGUAGCGGUGAAAUGCGUAGAGAUUGGGAGGAACACCAGUGGCGAAGGCGACUUACUGGGCCGUAACUGACGCUGAGGCGCGAAAGCGUGGGGAGCGAAC
rnacentral:rRNA from 1 species